rnacentral:tRNA from 1 species
AGGCGGAUAGCUCAGUGGAUAGAGCACAGGAUUCCGAAGCCUGGUGUCGAGGGUUCGAUUCCCUCUUUGCCUA